UACGUAGGGUGCAAGCGUUAAUCGGAAUUACUGGGCGUAAAGCGUGCGCAGGCGGUGAUGUAAGACAGAUGUGAAAUCCCCGGGCUCAACCUGGGAACUGCAUCUGUGACUGCAUUGCUGGAGUGCGGCAGAGGGGGAUGGAAUUCCGCGUGUAGCAGUGAAAUGCGUAGAUAUGCGGAGGAACACCGAUGGCGAAGGCAAUCCCCUGGGCCUGCACUGACGCUCAUGCACGAAAGCGUGGGGAGCAAACAGG
rnacentral:rRNA from 1 species